rnacentral:misc_RNA from 1 species
AAGUCGUAACAAGGUUUCCGUAGGUGAACCUGCGGAAGGAUCAUUAACACGUUAUCCAUACGUUAACCAAAGAGAACUGUUUUCACCCUCCCUUCACAAAGAAUGAGUGGUAGCUAGUACAGGUAAUUGAAAGUGGAUUGUUUCGGCAGUCAGCCUGUAUGUGUGAUAGUGUGCCGUAAAACGUGCCUACGCUGUAUCUUUUGUGAAGAUUAAUCCUGCCCAGAGCUCUCCUUUCAUGAGAUUUGUGGUGGGAAAUAUAUUUAACUUAUUUCACCUUUUUUGCUAGUUGACUUUUAUAUGUUGUUCUUUACGCUUGUCGUAUGGUUCACACGUUUAAUUAUUUGAACGUUAAAAUUACAACUCUUAGCAAUGGAUAUCUUGGUUCUC